GAUGAACGCUGGCGGCGUGCCUAAUACAUGCAAGUCGAGCGAACAGACGAGGAGCUUGCUCCUCUGACGUUAGCGGCGGACGGGUGAGUAACACGUGGAUAACCUACCUAUAAGACUGGGAUAACUUCGGGAAACCGGAGCUAAUACCGGAUAAUAUAUUGAACCGCAUGGUUCAAUAGUGAAAGACGGUUUUGCUGUCACUUAUAGAUGGAUCCGCGCCGCAUUAGCUAGUUGGUAAGGUAACGGCUUACCAAGGCGACGAUGCGUAGCCGACCUGAGAGGGUGAUCGGCCACACGGGAACUGAGACACGGUACAGACUCCUACGGGAGGCAGCAGUAGGGAAUCUUCCGCAAUGGGCGAAAGCCUGACGGAGCAACGCCGCGUGAGUGAUGAAGGUCUUCGGAUCGUAAAACUCUGUUAUUAGGGAAGAACAAAUGUGUAAGUAACUAUGCACGUCUUGACGGUACCUAAUCAGAAAGCCACGGCUAACUACGUG
rnacentral:rRNA from 1 species